CUACGGGCCGCUCCAGUGAGGAAUAUUGGACAAUGGGGGCAACCCUGAUCCAGCCAUGCCGCGUGAGUGAAGAAGGCCUUAGGGUUGUAAAGCUCUUUCAAUAGUGAAGAUAAUGACGGUAGCUAUAGAAGAAGCUCCGGCUAAAUUCGUGCCAGCAGCCGCGGUAAUACGAAUGGAGCAAGCGUUGUUCGGAAUCACUGGGCUUAAAGCGUGCGUAGGCGGACAUGAAAGUCAGAAGUGAAAUCCCAGGGCUUAACCCUGGAACUGCUUUUGAAACUCCAUGUCUAGAAUCCGGUAGAGGUCAGGAGAAUUCCUAGUGUAGAGGUGAAAUUCGCAGAUAUUAGGAGGAAUACCAGUGGCGUAGGCGCCUGACUGGGCCGGUAUUGACGCUGAGGUACGAAAGCGUGGGGAGCAAACAGGAUUAGAUACCCUUGUAGUC
rnacentral:rRNA from 1 species